rnacentral:rRNA from 1 species
GAUGAACGCUGGCGGCGUGCCUAAUACAUGCAAGUCGAGCGAACAGAUAAGGAGCUUGCUCCUUUGACGUUAGCGGCGGACGGGUGAGUAACACGUGGGUAACCUACCUAUAAGACUGGAAUAACUCCGGGAAACCGGGGCUAAUGCCGGAUAACAUUUAGAACCGCAUGGUUCUAAGGUGAAAGAUGGUUUUACUAUCACUUAUAGAUGGACCCGCGCCGUAUUAGCUAGUUGGUAAGGUAACGGCUUACCAAGGCAACGAUACGUAGCCGACCUGAGAGGGUGAUCGGCCACACUGGAACUGAGACACGGUCCAGACUCCUACGGGAGGCAGCAGUAGGGAAUCUUCCGCAAUGGGCGAAAGCCUGACGGAGCAACGCCGCGUGAGUGAUGAAGGUCUUCGGAUCGUAAAACUCUGUUAUUAGGGAAGAACGAAUGUGUAAGUAACUGUGCACGUCUUGACGGUACCUAAUCAGAAAGCCACGGCUAACUACGUG